UACGAAGGGGGCUAGCGUUGCUCGGAAUCACUGGGCGUAAAGGGUGCGUAGGCGGGUCUUUAAGUCAGGGGUGAAAUCCUGGAGCUCAACUCCAGAACUGCCUUUGAUACUGAAGAUCUUGAGUUCGGGAGAGGUGAGUGGAACUGCGAGUGUAGAGGUGAAAUUCGUAGAUAUUCGCAAGAACACCAGUGGCGAAGGCGGCUCACUGGCCCGAUACUGACGCUGAGGCGCGAAAGCGUGGGGGAGCAAACAGG
rnacentral:rRNA from 1 species